ACCUGGUUGAUUCUGCCAGUAGUCAUAUGCUUGUCUCAAAGAUUAAGCCAUGCAUGUCUAAGUAUAAGCAAUUACAAAGCGAAACUGCGAAUGGCUCAUUAUAUAAGUUAUCGUUUAUUUGAUAGUACCUUACUACAUGGAUAACCGUGGUAAUUCUAGAGCUA
rnacentral:rRNA from 1 species